rnacentral:rRNA from 1 species
UACGAAGGGGGCUAGCGUUGUUCGGAUUUACUGGGCGUAAAGCGCACGUAGGCGGAUCGAUCAGUCAGGGGUGAAAUCCCAGGGCUCAACCCUGGAACUGCCUUUGAUACUGUCGAUCUGGAGUAUGGAAGAGGUGAGUGGAAUUCCGAGUGUAGAGGUGAAAUUCGUAGAUAUCAGGAGGAACACCUGUGGCGAAAGCGGCUCACUGGACCAUAACUGACGCUGAUGCACGAAAGCUAGGGGAGCAAACAGG